rnacentral:rRNA from 1 species
AACGAACGCUGGCGGCGUGCCUAACACAUGCAAGUCGAACGGGAUUCGGAGCUUGCUCCGAUGAGAGUGGCGCACGGGUGAGUAACGCGUAGAUAAUCUGCCUGAUGAUCUGGGAUAACAGUUCGAAAGGACUGCUAAUACCGGAUAAGCCCACGGACACCUUGGUCUUUGCGGGAAAAGGGGGGGACCUUCGGGCCGUCCGUCAUCAGCUGAGGCUGCGUACCAUUAGCUAGUUGGUAGGGUAAAGGCCUACCAAGGCGACGAUGGUUAGCUGGUCUGGGAGGAUGAUCAGCCACACUGGAACUGAGACACGGUCCAGACUCCUACGGGAGGCAGCAGUGGGGAAUUUUGCGCAAUGGGGGAAACCCUGACGCAGCAACGCCGCGUGAGUGAUGAAGGCUCUUGGGUCGUAAAGCUCUGACAGAGGGAAAGAAGUGUAUGGUGGUUAAUACCCAUUGUACUUGACGGUACCCUCAAAGGAAGCACCGGCUAACUCCGUGCCAGCAGCCGCCGUAAAAC